UACAGAGGUCCCAAGCGUUUGUUCGGAUUCACUGGGCGUAAAGGGUGCGUAGGUGGUGGGGUAAGUCUGAUGUGAAAUCUCCGAGCUUAACUCGGAAAUGGCAUUGGAAACUACCUUGCUAGAGGUUUGGAGGGGAGACUGGAAUUCUUGGUGUAGCAGUGAAAUGCGUAGAUAUCAAGAGGAACACCGGCGGCGAAGGCGGCGCUCUGGGCCGGUACUGACGCUGAGGAGCGAAAGCGUGGGUAGCAAACAGG
rnacentral:rRNA from 1 species